rnacentral:rRNA from 1 species
CCUACGGGGGGCAACAGUGAGGAAUAUUGGUCAAUGGACGAGAGUCUGAACCAGCCAAGUAGCGUGAAGGAUGACUGCCCUAUGGGUUGUAAACUUCUUUUAUAUGGGAAUAAAAUGUUCCACGUGUGGGAUUUUGUAUGUACCAUAUGAAUAAGGAUCGGCUAACUCCGUGCCAGCAGCCGCGGUAAUACGGAGGAUACGAGCGUUAUCCGGAUUUAUUGGGUUUAAAGGGAGCGUAGGUGGAUUGUUAAGUCAGUUGUGAAAGUUUGCGGCUCAACCGUAAAAUUGCAGUUGAAACUGGCAGUCUUGAGUACAGUAGAGGUGGGCGGAAUUCGUGGUGUAGCGGUGAAAUGCUUAGAUAUCACGAAGAACUCCGAUUGCGAAGGCAGUUCACUGGACUGCAACUGACACUGAGGCUCGAAAGUGUGGGUAUCAAACAGGAUUAGAUACCCCAGUAGUC